rnacentral:tRNA from 1 species
AUCAGUUUAGUAUAGGUAAGUAUGUGAGAUUGUAAAUUUCAAGGUGAUGAGGAUCAGCUGAGA